AAACUCACUUGACUCAUUUGUAACGAACUUUACAACGAACUUUCCAACGAACUUUCCAGUAGUCAGUUGUUUGCCGGUGAUGCCUCCUUGCUGCUCCUCGUUACGGAGUCUUUAUCAUCGAUGCUGAUGAUCGCGUUCGUUGUCUCGAUACUCGUCGUAGUUGGAACCACGGUCAACGUCGUCGUCGUCGUCGUCGUCGCUGUCGUCGGAGUCGUCGAUAUCGUCGAGGAUACAUCUUCGAUAACUGGCGAACUUCUGUGUACGCUCGGCAGUUUAUCUACGCAGUUAUCUUCAUUGGGCAAAACGAAGGAAAUCGUGCAAGGAUCAACAAAGGAAAGGAGCGAAGAAAAUUAUCGUUCGAGAGAAAACGAACGAGCUACGAAAGUAUUGCACCGAGAUCUAUUCGUUACCGUUUAAAGACGCUAGAUAAAGCUCGUAAAGUCUCAUCAAAGAUCGAAUCGAGAGGAUGGCUGAGGCAAUUCUAAGAGAAGUGACGAAUGAAAAACACAAGGUGGAACCUACAAGUAGUGGUUAAACUCGUGUCGCCACUCGUUCUCUGUGACUAAACGUUAGUCCGAACGCUCUACACACAUGGUCAUCGAAGAGCAAUGCCAUCAUCCUCAAUCUCGGCCUUUCACCAGGCCACGAGGAUGCACCUGCGAUCAUCGGAUCCAUCGAACGUAGCGAUCGAACUACGUAUAGAGGAAGGUGUUUCGAAGAGUUCUAAUGACGAUACCAUUAGUCAUCGGUGGAUGCUGUGUGUUACUCGGGUCACGUGAGCGCUCCAAAUUAUAUAGAGCGAGAUCUGGGGAUAGCCAAGAGCCCGUAGAGGACGUGAUGGCCCGAUCGUGGCUAGGUCAUCAGCCGCAUCUCCCAAUCGUUCAACCACACACAUUCAUCCAACGUAUUGAGUAUCGAUGAUCCACCGAUCCAGGCGUACCAUCCAACAAGCCGUUUCUUCCGCUAUCGCAAUGUUCUUCGACGAUAACCGAAGAGAUACGAUCGAGACUUUCAGUCCACGAUCAUCGCGUGAAUCAUCGUUUCCUUCAUCGACAUCAAUUUCAUCGUUCGCAAAUGACUUAAGAAGCCGUAAUAAAAAUGAAAUGAGUAGUGGGGAAUCGCAGAAGCCUUGAACCUCGUCCUCGGCGCUAUACAAUGGACUUCGAAGUCAGCGAUAGAUCGAGAGAGAAAGAAAGAUAGAAAGAAAGAAAGAAAGAAAGAAAGAAAGAAAGAGAGCAACAGACUGCACUCGAUCGAUCUUCUUCGACAAGAUCGAUUACGAGCGAGGGAGCAGAAGGCUCACGACGUACGAGGAAAAAGAAAAUCCACACGGGAUCCGGAUACGCGAACCCGCAAGGUCAGACCAGCGUGGGCAGGUAUCCGUAACUCGAUGAUUUUGCAACGAUCGCGCUUCCUGCUGGCAAUUGAUUAAUGGUAGCCGCAACGUCGACACCGCGUGCUACUUUAUAUACGUACUGACUACUCGUCUCUAUCGCCUUCGUGGAUAUAUUUACAACAGAAAAAAACAAAUAUGUCGAAAACAUAAAAAUUAGGCAAACAAAAAAUGAUGAAAAAGAAAAAGAA